CAACUUACCUGGCAGGGGAGAUACCAUGAUCACGUAGGUGGUUUUCCCAGGCUUAUCCACUGCACUCCGUAUGGGCUGACCCCUGCAAUUUCCCCAAAUGUGAGAAACUCCACUGCAUAAUUUUUGGUAGUGGGGGACUGUGUUCAUGCUCUCCCCUG